AGAAAACUUAUCAAGGGUCUAAUUGGAUUAGAUCAUGUUUGCAAGAUAAACAUCCUAGCAGGUGUUGCAAACCUUAGCUUCUGAUUCGAAUUGGAUUCGAAUCUGAUUCGAAUUGGAUUCGAAUCUGAUUCGAAUUGGAUUUGAAUCUGAUUCUUAAUUGAUCUAAUUUGAUUAGAUCAUAUUCUAAUAUGGGUUAGCCAAGAGUUGGCACCUAAUUGGCUUGGUUUGAGUCUAAUUGGAUUAGAUU
rnacentral:lncRNA from 1 species